GUUGCAGGCUCUGAAGAUGGAACCUUGCAUGCAUGAAGCAUCAGCAGAUGCAAUGAGGUGGCAUCCUAGAAUACCUCUGUUGGUGUGGCGGCUUGCUUGAAGUGGGCCCCUCGUCGGGCUAUGUUUGUCACCGCAUCUGUUUGGGUGAAAAGAUGAUAGUAAGAGGCAUAACAUUGUUGUCAUCCAGGUAAAUUCUCUUUCUCGGUUUUCCUA